rnacentral:snoRNA from 1 species
GGUCACCGAUGAGUCGUGAACAGUCAGACUCCCCGGCUCCCCUCCCCUAACCCUUGGCCUCCUGUGGGGCUCCGGAUAGUGCUGUGAUGGGCAGGGGGGCUGCUGGACCUAGGUGAGGCCUCAGUUCUGGGCUCCGUGGCCGACACCCGAUAGCCAGCCACAAAGGGGUUUGAUUGUCGGGAGUGCUGGUGUCUGUGGUUCCCAGCUGACUUUUCAAGCUGAGACC